rnacentral:lncRNA from 1 species
UUGUUUUCUAAGUAGCAGAGGCGUUGCCAUUUCACUUUGCUUUCCUCCUGGUGUUAGGGUUUGUCCUUAAGUUCAGAGCCAAAGAAAGUGGGCAGUGUGGAGAGGCUUUUGCCUUGGUUUUGCCGGCUUUGGAACACUGGGAGUAUUUUUGGAGCCCUGAAAACUAACUCUAGGCCUGCUUUGAAAUGUCCAGGGCAACAAACUUCUGUACUAUAACUGGACGUUGGGCAAUUCACAGAGGGAGUCAGUAAAGCACCACAACCUCUGGACAACUACAGGCAGUGCCCCAGCAGAUGUCAACUACUCACCUAAAACAGCAAGGGACUUAAGAAGAGGACAACUCAGGUCAGGACAGAAAAAGGAAAAGCAGAUGAAAACUGGAAAAACAGAAUGGGACUCAGUUGUAUGUGGCUAUAGAUCCAUCAUCUAGGGAGAGUGAAUUGUAUUGAAAUAAGACCAUUGUCUAAGUUAAUGAUGAGUAAUUCUGUAUGUAAAUUCCUCAAUAGGGUUAUUCAGAUAUUUUCCAAUAGUUUGUUUGUAAAAGAACCUCAUUCAGAUUUCAUUGCAGUAGGACAUCUGGACUGAGGUAACCUUAACUGCACCACUCAGACAUGGCUUGAACAGGGCAUCCAGGAUCCCUGGGUGGCUCAGCGGUUUAGUGCCUGCCUUCGGCCCAGGGCGUGAUCCUGGAGACCUGGGAUUGAGUCCCACAUCAGGCUCCCUGCAUGGAGCCUACUUCUCCCUCUGCCUGUGUCUCUGCCUCUCUCUGUGUGUCUCUCAUGAAUAAAUAAAUAAAAUAUUUUAAAAAUGCAUAGUAUAAGAGCAUUAUAAUAAUCACUUCUGAAUCUAAGGAUAUGCAUACUACUUCCUUUAUAAACAUUAAGAGAUCAUUUAUUACAUGUCAGGCCCUUUUUUAAAUGUUUCACAUGUAUCAGUUUACUUAAUUCUUACAACAACCCUAUGAGUUAGAUGCUGUUAUUACCUUCUUGCAAACUGGAUUAAAAAGCUAAAGCAAAAAG